GAGGCAGGCGGCCGCCGAGCCCAGGCGUGCGGCGUGUCGAGUGGAGCUGCUGAGGGCCCCGCCACUGCGAACCGGGAACCGAGGCGCCGGGACGGAGGGGGCGGACCGUCAGCCGCCCUGGCUGUGUUUCCAGCCAUGCAAGGUAGGAGUGACCGUCCUGUUUCCAUGCGGGGGAAACUGAGGCUGGAAGAGUCAUUUGGCUGUCAAGUAGUGGGCCUGGGAUUGGAACCCUGAUUUGCUAAGGAACCAGGUUCUUUCCUCCAGUCCGCACGGACGCACUUUAAUCAACACUUAAGCAAAUAAACCUUACUUCUAGGUAUUUUUUAAAAA